UUAACUAUUUAAAAGAAAAAUAAAAAAUCCAGAGAGAAAUGGGUCGUUGGAGCCACCACCGCCAUUGCUUCACUCCACCUGCAUAUCGCUUCUCCUGCCGGAAACAACCAUCACGAAACUGACCUUUCCCUUUAUCUUUCUCCUCCUCCUUUCUUUUAUCACUUGCAUCCACAACCUUGUAUCAGAUCUGAGGCCGUCAUCAUCUCUUCAAAUCUUCACCUCCAUGUAUCAGAUCUAAACGCCUCUAACGAUGGAGCUAAAACGAUGCCACCACCAUACCUACAACUCAUAGAGUGGUCGGAGAAGACGAAGGAAGAGUGGAAUAAGAUGGGUUUGGGUGGAGCUUUUUUGCACUGAGUCUCCUGUUCUCGCUGAUUUCUUUGAAAGCUCCUUUGUUUUUUAUGGAAGUGAUUUCCGGAGAAGAAGACAACCACCAUACGUGGUUGUUGGAGGCAAAUAGUGGUGGUUGCUGGAGGCAAAGGGUUGUGGAAGCUAAAACUGGUCGGAACCCUUCAUCUUCUUUGAUGUUUAGUAGCUGGUGGUGUCGGAAAAAAGUGUUUGUCGAAGAAGGGGAUGCACGAGAAGGGAGAACCAGAGUGUGAGGUGUAUGAGUUUUAUUGGGAUUUCUAGGUUUUAUGGUGGUACUUGGUAGGUGGCCGGAGAUGGUAUAACUAGAGGUCAUUUCAAAGUUGGUAGUUAAUGGGAGAUGGUGGUCGGUGAUCGAUGGCUAGCCGGAGAGUAUAAGUCUGGUUCUCGAACCUUCAAAGGAGUGGCUGGGUUUGGAUGGGGUGUAGUUGUUUAACCAUUUUUUUUUUAUUUUUCUAAUAUAAAUUAGAAAACAAAUGAUAAGUAAAAUAAAAAAAUUAAAUAAAAAAGGUAAAAUAGACAUUUUAUGUCUGUCGGAGACGGUCUGAGUUAAAAAAAUACAUUACAGGGACGGUCCGAGUUAAUUUUUGAAAAUAGGGACUCAACGUGCAAAUUGACACUUGGACAAGGGACGAAUCAUGUAAUUUACUUUGUAAAAUGAUAUUUUCUACCAUAUACUUUUUAAAAAUAUCAUUUUCAGCACCUCUAUU